rnacentral:lncRNA from 1 species
AACUUCUUCCAGUUCCUUGGAUGUUGUUAUUAGUAAUUAUCCUUGCAGCCCUUGUGAUUAUAUAACAGCUCUCAAGAGGAAGCUGCUAACAAGCCCAUCUGAUAUUUUGUGCCAGCUGUUUCAGUGGAGGCGUGUUGGACUAGACUGAACUCUGCCUUCUUUGAGAAGCAAAGCAUUUGGAAAGUGACAGAGCCUGAAGAAAAAGGGAAUUCAAAAUCUGGCUCUGAGUUUUCUCCUGGACCAGUCUGAUCUUCUGUAUCCACGGACAAGUGGGCUGCUGCAGGAGUAGUUUGGAAGCCCCACCACUAGCCAGUCUCUCUGCAUGAUGCAGCAACUCCUGCUAAGAUCCU